GACGAACGCUGGCGGCGUGCUUAACAUAUGCAAGUCGAACGGAAAGGCCCUGCUUUUGUGGGGUGCUCGAGUGGCGAACGGGUGAGUAACACGUGAGUAACCUGCCCUUGACUUUGGGAUAACUUCAGGAAACUGGGGCUAAUACCGGAUAGGAGCUCCUGCUGCAUGGUGGGGGUUGGAAAGUUUCGGCGGUUGGGGAUGGACUCGCGGCUUAUCAGCUUGUUGGUGGGGUAGUGGCUUACCAAGGCUUUGACGGGUAGCCGGCCUGAGAGGGUGACCGGCCACAUUGGGACUGAGAUACGGCCCAGACUCCUACGGGAGGCAGCAGUGGGGAAUAUUGCACAAUGGGCGGAAGCCGGAUGCAGCAACGCCGCGUGCGGGAUGACGGCCUUCGGGUGGUAAACCGCUUUCGCCUGUGACGAAGCGUGAGUGACGGUAAUGGGUAAAGAAGCACCGGCUAACUACGU
rnacentral:rRNA from 1 species